UACGUAGGGGGCAAGCGUUGUCCGGAUUUAUUGGGCGUAAAGAGCGUGUAGGCGGCCAUGUAGGUCCGUUGUGAAAACUCGAGGCUCAACCUCGAGACGCCGAUGGAAACCAUGUGGCUAGAGUCCGGAAGAGGAGAGUGGAAUUCCUGGUGUAGCGGUGAAAUGCGUAGAUAUCAGGAGGAACACCUGUGGCGAAAGCGGCGCACUGGACCACAACUGACGCUGAGGCGCGAAAGCUAGGGGAGCAAACAGG
rnacentral:rRNA from 1 species